CAGCCCAGCAGCUCUGCCUUUCCUAUCUGCAGAUCUGCAGGAGCAGCUGAGGGUGGCAGUGCUGCCUUGUGGUUUGAGCUUUUCCCUGUGCUGAUUUCUGUUUCUUGCUGACGCGCAGGGAGUUGUAUCCCCAGAGUGAGCAUCAGGGGUUUCAGGCGAAUAAGGUACAGAUGCAAACUGCAGAAAGCUGUGCCUUGCCAUGCUGUGUUUAAUUAAGGGCAUGCUGAAAAAAGUUCCUGUUCAGUAGCACCUCUCUGCAGUCAUAGUGUGUUGGAAUUCAAGUGACUUUACAGCAAGGCUGAGCUUGGGCUCACAUCUGGAAAUAUUAAAUCACUGCACCAUAAGAAGAGGUGGCUGUUCCUAUUUUCUGUGUUCAGAGUGACUGCAUGUGCCAAACACACGUUUCUGCUACAAUUGAUAGAAAGAAAAAUUGUGUUACUGCUGCAGGAAGCAUCCGGAAGGGAGCAGUGUAAAAUGCCAUCCCAUUGACUGUUAGUGCUGCCCAGUCCCAAAGGAAAGUGCAGCCUUUUAAGGACUCUUCAAGCUCCUUGUCGUCUGGCUGGGAGGUUGCAGUGGCACAUGUGUCUGGUAUGAAUGCAGCCUUUUGGUGUGUUGGUAGCUGUUUCACCCUCAGGAAUGACUGCCAGUGCUUCAAACAGCUGAUGUGCAGAUGCAGAAUCUGCCUGCUUAAUAUGUUUUAUUUAUUUUCCUGUGCAAUUUAUUAUCUAUGAGAUCUAGUUAUCUAUGUAAUAUAAUCCACUUUCCUACCUAAUUACAUGCGGCUCUAUAAAUAGAGAUGAAGGCCAUGGGACAUCAUGUUUUCUUUCUAGGCAAGUCCACUUCAUUUGUCUGCAAAUCAUCAUCUAGGAUGAUUUUCAGAAUUUCUCUUACUUUUCCUGGAUUUUCAGUGGGAUCUGUCCUUAUGUACCUAUGCUGCACCUUUCCCCUGAACAUCAGAUUAACUGUGUGCAAGUAAUGUGGAACGUGUGGCCCAUAUGCUUAAUACAUCUACUUGUCAAGGAGCUCCUAGCUGGAAAUAAGGCAGCACUCAGGAUGCAUAAAGAGAUGCAAUAAUGCGUUUAUGUAUCUGUAUACGAACCAUAUAUCUAAACACAUCCUCAUGUACAGUGGCUGUCAAUUUGGCAGUAGGAAAAUUCAGCAGCCUUGGUAGAAAUGGGUUGUAUUGCAGGCAUCCCAUUGCCUGGCAUUGUAUGUGUAUGUACAUAUAUAGAGCUGUGUGCUUUCUCUCUGUAAUGCGUCGCUCAGGAUUAUUCCAGCCUUAGAGGCAGUAUCCUAUCUCAGUGCCAUGACAGAUUUAAGCCUGAAAUAUCCUGGAAGCUUUGUUGGUUUGAGAAGAAAAAUAUCUCCGCUUGUUCUAGGCAGCAUGGGGUUUCCCUGGGCUUUAGCAGUGCUCAAAGCAGCUAGUUGGCUUUUGAAUCAUGACUUCUGCUCCUCAUCCAGCCAGAGACUUCCAUAGUCACCUCCUUUCCUCUUGCUGAGCAUUGUAUGUACUUUAUGAGCAGUGGGUUAGCAACCCUGAGACAUGAGGGUGAGAAACAAUGUGCUUAUAAAGCAGUGUCCACAGUGCAGAACGGUCACGGUGUUGGAUGAUCUUCUUCACUUUCUUCCAGUCCUGUUUCCUCCAACCCUGUGGCUAUGUGCAGUCACACCUGGUGUUGUCCAAGAGGGAAAAGGCUCCAUCAGAGAGAGGAUUUGAGUUUUGUUCCUAUAGUCACAUCUUCUUAAUAAAAACCAGCAGGGAUAUUUUAUCAAGGCUCUGAAGUCUCUUUGGCUAGAAAGAAAAAAAGGCAAAGCCCAAAGAGUAAGGAGAAGUAGCAACGUGUAAAAUGGAGCCAAACAAUUUUCUAGGAUUUGCAACCCUGCAAAAUCCAUGCAGGGCAUUUUAUCUUCUGGUGCAGAGAUAGCAUUUGCUUUUUUUGAGGAUGAGGGAUUCUAUAGACUUUCUGCAGCACGACUCUGCUGCUGUGCUGCUCCUGAUGCAACUUGAGAGGGAGCACAAAGGCCCUGGUUAAGGAAACAUGGCCAAGAAUUUCUCUGAAGCAUCAUAUGUCAAAUCAACAUUUUCAGUCUCUCUGUCUGAGCUGCUUUUCAUUCAUGUUUUUUUUGCUUCUUUUCUCCUUCCAUAUCCUCCCCCUCCUUUUCCUGAUCAAACCCUUUCUCUGAUGGCAAACAUCAUUACUGCAGCAAGCAAGAUGAAAUACGUCUCAGUCUACCUCAGUCCCAAGGCAGACAGAAACCCAAGAGGAAAGGGCAAGGAACAACAAUUAAGGAGGUUUGCAGAAUGCCAACACAGCAAUGGCAGUUAGAAAUACAAGACAGAGCUGUUAACCACACAAGGAAAUAAAUGCUCCUGUGGGAAAAAUCAUACACUAAUGCCUAUUAGCUAAAUGGCCCCGUGGUUUAGGCAGAGGGCUGAGUGACGGGGGGUCUGGGCUUGAUGUGCUGCUGUGCUGCAGCCCAGCUGUCACAUGGGAGGCUGGGUAUUUGUGCUGCCCUUGGUUGUCUUUGCUUUCAGCUUUGCCACUUUUCAGUGUGGAACAGGAGCUGGGGAGCAGCCCACACUGUUGUUGGGUGGAGGAUGUCACUAUGUAUGUAUGCACAACCCCUGUCAAGGGUCAGGGCUCUCCCCAUAGGCAUGGAUGAUGUCUCAAUUCCUAUCUUGUUCUCUGUCUGGAGGCUGGGGCUGAACAAAGGUCUCUAGUACUUCUCUCCAGGAAGAAAUUGAACCCGUAGUUAUUUGUUGGUCUUUGAAUGCUUUGAGGACCGAACUCAGAGCCCAAAGGCCAUAGCUAAAAAAAAAUAGAAUGAAAUGGAAGCAAAUGAUGAAGCUAGUCCAAUGGAGAGUAGGAGGUCAUCAACAGUUCCAGUUUACCAGGAAUGUUUAUGAAGGAAAAGGGAAAGCUUCCCUUGGAGAAAAGAUAAAGAGCUGCAUUAUGAUAUAUUUGACCUCAUAGUGUUUCCUGAAAAAGAGCUGAGGGCACUGUUUUCUGCGUUAGUAUCCUAUGUUAAACGUUAGAGGGAUGAAGGCAACUAGGCUGACUAGCUAUGAGUUAGUCCUAAAAGCUGAGAUUUUUAGUUUGGGGAAAAGAGGUACUUUGCUUAUUAGCAGACUUUGCAGUUCACAAUGGACAACUCAUUAUUUUCUCCUUUUGACAGCGGCUGUUUCCUCCUUUAGCUGUUAAAUCCCCUUUCCAGAUAGAAGCUGUCCUUGGUUGGACAGAGUGCUCCUACUUGGCAAAUGGCCAUAAGAUGCCAAGCUCUGGUCAUGCUCCUCAAGCUGAAGAAAUUUUGCCACUGAUAUGAAUUGGAAUGUCAUUUUUCCUGCAGUGUGCUGUGUUUCUCCUUGGAAACUUCUCUUGCAGUAAUGAUGAGACAAAGUUUGACUUUCAAAGAGCAGCCUGGAGAAUAACAGUCCCCAGCCUUCUCCAAGAAGCACGGGAGAAGUUGACAGAUGCAAUGGAGUGCAACUCUGUAUGUGUAUGCAUGACUGUGUGCACUUCAUACUUGGAAAACUCAGAUUUGCAGCCUAUUUGAUGAAAGAACUUUGGAGUUCAAAUAGCAAAGGAAGCAGAAAGCAAUGGGAACUGUAAACUAUUUUUGUCCAUUUAUUGUAUUUAUUUUUAUUUUUUUAAUCUUUCUUUUUGGUCUUUCUGAUUCAGUAAGAAAUCCUCCUGUCAAUCCCAGUACAUUUGGUAUAAACUCAAACUGUCGAACACAAGUACAAUACCAUGCUGAGUGUUGCUCUCUGUAGCUCAUUUCAUUCAAAAUGGUUAUCUGCAAUAUCUUGGUUUCUGAGAACACAGAGUAUUUCACACAGAGUUGUUUUGUAGUCUCUGCUCCUUGAAGGCAAGUCUCAGAGCUCAAAGAAAUCACAAAGACAACUUUGGUCCUUCAGCUUUAAAAACUUCCUUGUAGGCAUUGUGACUUUGCACAGGCAAAAGACCAGAGCUGGGGAAUACAGGGGACAGUCCUAGGGGAAAGGGCAAUGAGAUUUUGUUCCACCUGAGCCAAUUCCUGAGAGGAAGAGAUACCUUGCUGGUUUCUGUUUUCAAGAAGUUUGAAUGGAGAGAUGGAAAAGACUUUCUUCUCUCCAUUCCCACCUUCUUGUAUGAUUCCAUGAUGCUUGCUGCAGGACCAGCAUCCGUGGGUGGAGCUCCCAACCCCAGGGGGAGCCAGGUUUGUUUUUGCUCUGUUUUACUUGAGUUGAGAUUUUUCCUUUGGAAACCAAUGAGGGUGUCAUCCACCGAGAUCACAUUCAAAUAGAGAAGUUCUACUGGUAGACAGUAAGCAUGCUAGGGUUUUUAGUGUGCCUCCUUUUUACCAAUUCUUCUUUAUCUGUCAGAUCAGAAGAGAUUUAAAACCACACGGGAAAGAAAACAUAACUUGGAGUUAUAAACAGAGAGAUUAUUGCAUAUCAGGUCUGAACCCAUUCCUUGGCUCACCUUUCAUUGUUGUUCUUGUGAGAAAAUUUAGUCCUGAGGUUUGCCUUCUUUACAUUGAACACAGUGAUUACAUUCAUCCUAUUCAGAUUCCAGGCUCAUAUUUUCUCUCUCUCUCUUUUUUUUUUUUUUUUUUUUUUCUUAGAGGCCUUUUAUUUUCCAUCCAGCCCAUCUUACAUUUAGAAGAGGCACAUAUUAAAGGCUGCCUUGAUUUGCUCUUUCCUGUGGGGAAUAAUAGGCGUGAUGGUGUUUAGAAAAAUGAAAAUUAAAAAAUAUAGUGACCCUUAUAAUGAAGAGUUGGGGGGUGUAAAACAUACAAAUAUCUAUGUUGUAAAUACUCUAAUCUAGAACCAGGGCAGAAAACUCCCUAAUUUUCUUCUUCUGGCUCAGCCUUCCUUUAGACAAUACAAAAAUUGAUCAUGACUGCUGCCUAAAUAGGAAGUUCAAUCAGCACUGUUGCAAGCUGUGUGCUUUCCCCACUAUUAAUAUGUAUAAUUUGUGGAAGUUCUGACUUUUUUUGGAAUAUUCUUUAAAAAAAAAAAAUUCCAAACAAGUCGCUGCUUUGUUUCAGUCUGGCCUGCUGCAUCACUGUAAGUCUCCAGGAGAGAGGAGCUCAGGCAGUUUUACACAGUUCUUUCCCCUCUGCUGCCUGCCUCAGCAAUGUGACACUAAAAUGGGAUUUUUGGUAUCUCUUUAACACUCUUAAAAGUAAACGCCUUUCAUAAUGUAUAUCAUUUUCCAAAGUAAUUUAAAGAGAAUACCUUUCACUUUCAAAUUGCCCUUUGGCAGAUCUGAAGCUGCUGUUGUUUUGUGAAAGCUUUUGGCAUUUAAAAAUACUU